rnacentral:rRNA from 1 species
UACGUAGGGUGCGAGCGUUGUCCGGAAUCACUGGGCGUAAAGGGCGCGUAGGUGGUGGCUUAAGCGUGCGGUGAAAGCUCGGGGCUCAACCCCGAGUCGGCCGUGCGAACUGGGCUCACUGGAGCAUAGUAGAGGCAGGUGGAAUUCCGGGUGUAGCGGUGGAAUGCGUAGAGAUCCGGAAGAACACCGGUGGCGAAGGCGGCCUGCUGGGCUAUGGCUGACACUGAGGCGCGACAGCGUGGGGAGCAAACAGG